AUUACACCAAACAUAAAUAAUACAUUUGAGACAGUGGUAAACAUUCAAACGAAUUGUGGCUUGGUGCAGAGGAGAUUCUGACAGUAAGAGCUAUACCUGUGCACAGAAUACCUUAGGCAACCACACACUAGACCCUUAACACCAUCUACCUACCAUCCCCUUCUUUGCCUUUCCUCAAAGGCAAGUGAGUUGAUGAUGCUUCGUUGUAAAGAAUAAACUCUAGACAUUGAUUGUUUGAAUACUAUAUUUUUCCACAACAGUCAAGGGCUUAUUCCAAUGCCUACACAACAUUAGUUUCCUAUAUCCUGCAUUAAUUGUUUUGUAAAGCCAAAAUAAAAUCCAUUUUCCUUUAUCUUUUCUUCUACCUUUCCUAGAUAGCUUCAUGCAAAGGUAGAACUUGAAAGAAGGAUUCCUAUUUCCAAAGCAAAUUUGCUUUCCAUCGUGUUAAGUUGAUGAGAACUAGGAACAGUUCCUCUAGCCAUCUCCGCACGACUAAAUCCUAAUUUAUUUUUUCUAGUAAAACCCUAAUUUCAUUAAGUCACUCCUUAUUAUCCUAUAGGAAUGUGGACAGUGGAAGUAGACCAAAGAAAAUAAUAUCCUAGUUUUUCCACUGACCGACAGUAUGACUUUGAAUGAGUUCACCUGACAACUCUAAACCUCAUGCCCUCAUCUGUCAAAUCAGGAUGAUAAGGAAUCCCCUCUCAUAGAGUUGUGCCAGUGACCCAGCAAUAACUCCCUUAAUGCUAGCUGCUUCUGCACUUACCACAAUCAGCCUUUUAUUAUGGUUGAAUAGAUAUGUUUUCCUUACGUGGUUAUAGAGUUCAAGGACAUUUAGAUGUUAUAUAUACCAUUUUUAUUUUAGGUAAAAAUACUGAAGCUUACAGGCUCAGAAUGAUUUUUCCUAAACGGCGUAGAUAUGGCUGUGAGCUCCUGAAGAUAGGGAACCUGGCACUUUGGUUUAUAUUUAAAUCUCAGCACCCAGCAGAAUGACUGACAACUAGUAGACUUGGUAGGUAUUUAUUUAUUGCAUGGAUGGAAGAAUCUCUAAUUUCUCCCUCUUAAGGCUACAAUCAGUUUGACAGUUUAUCUGUGUGUGUGACUCAACCUGAGUUGCUAUAAAAAAUAUAAUAGACUGGGUGGCUUAAAUAAUAGAAAUUUAUUUCUGAAAGUUCUACAGCUUAUCACUAUGUCCUCACAUGACAGAGCAUAAGAGAGGAAGAGGGAGCUCUCUUUCUCUUCUUCUAAGGCCAGUAUAAAGAAAAAUAAAUAAAUAAACAACAAAAAAUAAGGCCAGUAUAAUACCAUAUCAUAGUUGUGGCUUUCCAGAGAAACAUAACCAAAAAGAAGUAUGUGGAUAGAUAGAAAGAUAGAUAGAUGGAUAGAUAGAUAGAUUAAUAGAGAUCUAUAUAAUGGGAAUUGGCUCAUAUGAUUAUGGAGGAUAAAAAGUCCCAUGGUCUGCUGUCUGCAAGCUGGAGGACCAGGAAAGUUAAUAGUGUAAUUCAGUCUGAGCCCAAAGGCCUGAGAAUCAGGGGAGCCAAUAGUAUAAAUACCAGUUCCUGGACAAAGGCCUGGGGACUAGGGGUAAGGGUAGGGGUAGGGGUGGGAGUGGAGGGUGGGUGUGGUGAAAGUCCUGGAGGUGUCUGAGGGCAGGAGAAGAUCGAUACCUUUCAAACACAGAAUGAUAAUUCACCCUUCUUCUGCCUUUUUGUUCUAUAUGGGCCUUCAACAGAUUGAAUGGUACCCACACUGGGGUGAGCUAUCUACUUUACUCAGUUCAUCAAUUCAAAUGCUAGUAUCUUCUGGAAACACCCUCACAGACAUAUCCAGAAAUAAUGUUUUACCAGCUUCCUGGUAAUCUCUUAGUCCAGUGAAGUUGACACAUAAAAUUAAGCAGCACAGUCAACAAUCCUAUUGGAUUAAGCGGUCUAUGGUUAUGACCUCAUUUAACCUUUAUCACCUCCUCAUAUGCCCUAUCUCCAAAUACAGUCACAUUGGUGGCUAGAGCUUCAGAACUCACACACACACACACACACACACACACACACACACGUAUAUUUUAGGAGGGGUCACAAUUUAUUCUAAUAGCACCAGGUUAUACUUAUUUGACUUGAAGUUGCCUCAGUCCUUCCAGCAGAUACUAACUUAGCACUCUCUACUUUUCACUUUUCUUAUUUGCAAGCAAAUCUUUAUUUUUUUUUAUAAAAGAGUGUUCAGUUUCUGUUAACUCUACAGGUUUUCUCUCUCUUUCUUUCUCUCUCCCUCUCUUGAUUUCUUUCUCUUUGUUGCUGUUUGGCUUUGAAGAAAAUAAAAAUCUUUUUCUGAGUAUAUUUUUUAUGUGAAUUGAAAGUUGUGGUACAGGAUGGCAACAACAGAAGUGUAUUAAUGUAAGCAAGACUCAGAAAUCAUUAUUUAUGCAUUCAAAAAGUAAAUAUAUUUCCAGUUUUUGUGUGUGCCACUGAAUUUCGUUGGGUUUUGAUAUUCUUUCUUCUGUGGUUUUU
rnacentral:lncRNA from 1 species